CAGGAUUCCUGAUCAGAGGUGUCUUCACUAAACUAGACACGCCUGCCUCAUCCUCAACAUCUAAUGGCUUUAGUGGAACAACACAAUUCAACAAAAAGGCGUCAGAGAGCUACAAGAAAAUAGCCCCCCACACCGUAAGGCCCACCUCAGAGAACCAGGAUGGCUCAGUUAGCCAUGAGGAGAAGGAGAGACGGACACAGACAGCCAACAGUGUUCUCAAGAAAUCUGCUCCGAGGCAACGGUCUUAUGUGCUUUCUGCUGCUAAGAUAUAUGAGU